UUGAGGGAAAUAUGAAAAGAAAAAUACUUCCAUCUUUGUCAUAAGAAAUCGCUUCAUUAAAAUAUAAUCAUGUAUUUAUUCAUGUCUAAAUAUCAACUUUUCUGUAGUUUAUUUAUUGUGGCCUAAAUAUGAACUUUUCCCAUAGCCUAGCAACCUUUUAGUUGGAGAAGUAUGUACCGAUUAAAUUGACAGUUCCUCCUACCCUUAAUUAGUUGAUCUGCAAAUUUGUAUAUAGACGAUUUCACUCAGAAUAUUAAGUAUGCAAGGAUUAAAUGUAAGUACAAAAUAUGAAAUUGUAAAUACAAAUGUUGUGUGGAUCUGGUGGUUUUUAAAAAUAAAAUAAGUUAAAACCAGUGAUGUGGUGAUAUCACCUUGACAACCAGUGUGGUUUACACCUGAGGUGAUGCUAAGGUGUCCUUGCCGCCUCAGUGGGGGAAGUUGUGUUCCUUCAGAAACUUAAGAUCUUGGGCUGGAAUCGCCUGUUUAUGUCUAUAAGUUUGUCAUCACCAUAUCCGUGCUGUUUUGACCAAAAUGGUGAACCUCUGAGAACUGAAAAAAAUGUUUAAAACCCUCAUUAUACCAAAACCAUUCCAGAAGCUUAAAAAUCUUUUUUCAGAGAUAGGGCACUAGAAGUACAAAAAAUGCUAAAGUACUUUAGCACAUGGCUCAGGGUUUUUGGCAAAAAUAGUCAGUUAAUAUAAAUUUUGUAAUAUAUGAUUUAAUUAUAUAUUUUAGUACAACUGCGUGGUUAGUUUAAUCGAUAUGAGGGUGGGGGCCCUCUGCAUCCUUGCAGAUUCACCCCCUCUGGAUCGCCUAUGCCGCAUCAAGGGCAUGUGUUUGGGGGAUACCCUGAAUCUGCUUACUGUGUCCAUACAUACCAUGGUUGGGUACUACAGGACUCUUGAAAGUCAUUGAAUAGAUGGACCAACCACUCUCCCCGCUGACCGUCCUCCUACACCAUGCUAUCCAGCCUCAUCACUGUCCUAACAUAGCAAGACCACCUCUAGUAAUUUGUGGGUAAACCCUUGUAUAUUAUUCAAAAGAACUUAUGAACACAUGCUCCUUUCAUAUGUCUAUAGUUAAUCUGUCCUGCCAUGACGCCUGGUUCAUUCUGGUAAUUAAUCUGUCAUGCCACAUCCUAUUCUUUCAUACUGUACAGUUACUCUUUCAUGGCAUGACAGAUGGCAUAGUAAUAUGAAAGGACCUGUGUUCUUUAACAUCUUUUGAGUUGUAUACUCUGUCUCCAUUCUGUUUUGAUAAAAGACAUGGGCCCUUUCGCCAUCUUAGCUUCAUUUCGGAAGUGACGUCACCGUCUCUGCCUGUAUGUUCUUCAUAUUCACUAGCAAGACACAAUUUGUCUCUGGAAAAUAAGUUUAUUGGAGGGCCAUUUUUUUAAUCUGGUUGAAAAUGAAAAGAUGAUAACAAAUGGGACCAGGUUAUUUAUCAUAACAGAUUGGAGAUUACGAAGACUGUUGUAGGUCCAUUCUGUUUGGGUUCCUGUGCGUGUCUGUUCUGGGCACAUUCGCUUCAACCAGAGGUUGUUGUC